ensembl:lncRNA
GUUGUUUUGUUUAUUUCACUGAAGAUGCAUCAUCACUAUACCUACUUAAGCAUAUUCUCUGCAUCUGUAUUUAUUUAAAAAUGCUUUUGCAACCUGACACUGUUCAGCUUUUUUAUCUUUUACCAGUAUUUGGGGACUUAUUGGGGAUUCCUUUGAUAAUUUCAGGAAGAAAGAAGUGGAAUGGAAGGAGCCAGUAACUGUCCCAGGUCAGAAAACGUAUCCAAAGUUCAUUGGAUAACUGCACCCUCAACAAUCAGGUAUAAAACUGCUGUUUAAUUACCCGAUAUUAUCCAUACUUUUAGAAUGAGAGUGUGCAUUUUAAAGUUAUGCAAACAUAACUUUCAUAUUUGGUCUAAUUGUUGGCUGUUUUGUUCAUUCCAGGAGACAAUAAGUGGUGUAGACAGAGCUAAUAUCUUCCCCAAAUCAGAUGGUACCUCUGAAGACAUUCAGCAUUCCACAGACUGUUCACAGGUUGAGACUUUCCACAUUCAGGAGACAAUAAAGGGUAUGAACCAAGCCAGUAACUGCCCCAAAUCAGAUGGUGCCUCUGAAGACAAUCAGCAUUGCACAGACAGUCCACAGCAUGACAGUAUCUUCCACAUUCAGGAGACAAUAAAGGGUAUGAACCAAGCCAGUAACUGCCCCAAAUCAGAUGGUGCCUCUGAAGACAAUCAGCAUUGCACAGACAGUCCACAGCAUGACAGUAUCUUCCACAUUCAGGAGACAAUAAAGGGUACGAACCAAGCCAGUAACUGCCCCAAAUCAGAUGGUGCCUCUGAAGACAAUCAGCAUUGCACAGACAGUUCACAGCAUGACAGUAUCUUCCACAUUCAGGAGACAAUAAAGGGUAUGAACCAAGCCAGUAACUGCCCCAAAUCAGAUGGUGCCUCUGAAGACAAUCAGCAUUGCACAGACCGUCCACAGCAUGACAGUAUCUUCCACAUUCAGUGGCUCUUGAUGUAG